rnacentral:rRNA from 1 species
GACGAACGCUGGCGGCGUGCUUAACACAUGCAAGUCGAACGGAAAGGCCCUGCUUUUGUGGGUUGCUCGAGUGGCGAACGGGUGAGUAACACGUGAGUAACCUGCCCUUGACUUUGGGAUAACUUCUGGAAACUGGGGCUAAUACCGGAUAGGAGCUCCUGCUGCAUGGUGGGGGUUGGAAAGUUUCGGCGGUUGGGGAUGGACUCGCGGCUUAUCAGCUUGUUGGUGGGGUAGUGGCUUACCAAGGCUUUGACGGGUAGCCGGCCUGAGAGGGUGACCGGCCACAUUGGGACUGAGAUACGGCCCAGACUCCUACGGGAGGCAGCAGUGGGGAAUAUUGCACAAUGGGCGGAAGCCUGAUGCAGCAACGCCGCGUGCGGGAUGACGGCCUUCGGGUUGUAAACCGCUUUCGCCUGUGACGAAGCGUGAGUGACGGUAAUGGGUAAAGAAGCACCGGCUAACUACGUG